rfam:Tyto alba contig96646, whole genome shotgun sequence.
CCAAAGGCUCUUUUAAGAGCCACCCACAAAGUCUCUGAAAGGGCUU